rnacentral:rRNA from 1 species
GACGAACGCUGGCGGCGUGCUUAACACAUGCAAGUCGAACGGUGAAGGGGCCUGCUUUUGUGGGCCCUGGAUGAGUGGCGCACGGGUGAGUAACACGUGAGUAACCUGCCCCCUUCUUCUGGAUAACCGCAUGAAAGUGUGGCUAAUACGGGAUAUUCUGGGUCUGUCGCAUGAUGGGUCUGGGAAAGAUUGCGCCUUUGGGUGUUUUUGGUGGGGGAUGGGCUCGCGGCCUAUCAGCUUGUUGGUGGGGUGAUGGCCUACCAAGGCGGUGACGGGUAGCCGGCCUGAGAGGGUGGACGGUCACACUGGGACUGAGACACGGCCCAGACUCCUACGGGAGGCAGCAGUGGGGAAUAUUGCACAAUGGGCGCAAGCCUGAUGCAGCGACGCCGCGUGAGGGAUGGAGGCCUUCGGGGUGUAAACCUCUUCCGCCAGUGAAGCAGGCCUGCUCCUUGUGGGUGGGUUGACGGUAGCUGGAUAAGAAGCGCCGGCUAACUACGUG